rnacentral:rRNA from 1 species
AGAGUUUGAUCAUGGCUCAGGACGAACGCUGGCGGCGCGCUUAACACAUGCAAGUCGAGCGAGAACCAUGGCUUCGGCCAUGGGGACAGCGGCGAACGGGUGAGUAACACGUGGGUAAUCUGCCCUCGGCACCGGGAUAGCCCGGGGAAACCCGGAUUAAUACCGGAUGGCCUCUCGAGCUCUUGGGCUCGUGAGAAAAGGUAGCUUCGGCCUCCGGCCGAGGAGGAGCCCGCGGCGGAUUAGCUUGUUGGUGGGGUAAUGGCCCACCAAGGCGACGAUCCGUAGCUGGUGUGAGAGCAUGACCAGCCACACUGGGACUGAGACACGGCCCAGACUCCUACGGGAGGCAGCAGUGGGGAAUCUUGCGCAAUGGGCGAAAGCCUGACGCAGCGACGCCGCGUGCGGGAAGAAGGCCUUCGGGUUGUAAACCGCUUUCAGGAGGGACGAAGCCACUCGGGUUAAUAGCCCAGAGGGUGACGGUACCUCCAGAAGAAGCCCCGGCUAACUACGUGCCAGCAGCCGCGGUAAUACGUAGGGGGCGAGCGUUGUCCGGAUUUAUUGGGCGUAAAGCGCGUGUAGGCGGCUUGGUAGGUCUGCUGUGAAAACUCGGGGCUCAACCCCGAGACGUCGGUGGAAACCACCUGGCUAGAGUCCGGAAGAGGAGAGUGGAAUUCCUGGUGUAGCGGUGAAAUGCGCAGAUAUCAGGAAGAAUAUCCGUGGCGAAGGCGGCUCUCUGGUACGGCACUGACGCUGAGACGCGAAAGCGUGGGGAGCGAACAGGAUUAGAUACCCUAGUAGUCC